rnacentral:tRNA from 1 species
UCCUUGGUGGUCCAGUGGUUAGGACUCCCUGUUUCCAAUGCAGGGGGCACAGGUCUGAUUCCUGGUGGGGGAA